AUACUUUCCUGUUAGGGAGAUACCAUGUGCAUGAAGAUGGUCUUCUCAGGGCAAGGCACCCCACUGUACUGCAGAUGAGCCUACCCUGUGGUUUCCCCAAAUGUGGCAAACUUGACAACACAAUUUUUGGUGCCAGGGUAGGGGGGUGCAGUUGCAGUCUACCCUA